GAGAUUCUUGGGCAAGUCCAUGUUGCAACAAGAAUGCGCCCAACGGAAGCUCUUUGGGCAUUGGCCUAUGGAGGUCCCAUGUCCUUACUUCCUUUGGCAGUGAGUAAUGUACAAGAGAAUAGCUUGGAACCUCAGCAAGGUGACCUUGCUUUAUCUUUAGCGACAACUGCAAUUGCUGCGCCCAUAUUCAGAAUCAUCUCGAAGGCCAUUGAACAUCCUGG
rnacentral:misc_RNA from 1 species